rnacentral:lncRNA from 1 species
GUAAUUUAUCUAAUUUUAACUGACCCCCCUUCCUCCUUCCUUCUCUCUGCUCUUCUCUCUUCGCUCUUUUCUUCUUUCUUCUCUUUCUCUCUCUCGCUCUCUCUCUCUGUAUUAAGGUUUGUGUAGUAGCUUCAUAAACAAUUAAAUAUUUAAUAUGGACUUGAAUCAAUACAGAUACAAUUACCCGGUUUGUGGGCAAGAAUACCCUGUGUCCUAUGCGGGAGUGGAAGAUGCAAAGUGGAAUUGCUCAACCGUGUUUUUAGUAAGUUUAAUGUGUGUCAUGGGCUGUUAGAUGGUGUGGACCAGACCUGGGGGGAGUGUGACCUAGUUGGGAUAGGGUCGUCUAGAUGAGCUUAUAAGGGGCGGGAAUAUCAGUAUGUCAGUUGUAUAGGCUGUUAGGUUGUGUAACUGUGGACAGGUCAGAACACUUGUAUUUUGAAGAAUCCAACCGAACAGGGAUAAGCAUACGUACACUCAGGUUAUUUCUGAGGAGUGGAUUUAAUUUCCUCAUCUUGAUUUUUUAGGUUUAAACGUGUUUUUUUUUUUUUUUUUUUUUUCUUUUUUUUUUUUUUUCGGGCUAGUUGCUCCGUCUUGUGCCUAGUUCAUUUUUUCAAUGAAUAAAAGCAGUGCAUAUAUUUUCUCAAAAAUACCAAUCAAUGUAAAUUUUUAAUAUUAACAGUCCAAAAUAACAAAUCUGAGAAAUUAACUAGAAUUUUGAAUGACUUAAAACCAUUGGAUUGGCCAAAUUAAUUAAUUUUCGGUGCUUCAGAUAUAGCAAAACCCCGGUACUACUGCAUUUUGUUUUUCUCAAUAUUUGGACUUAACCUGGUCAUUAUCAAUAAUGAGGAUGAGCUUGACCGUGUGUUGGCUUAUGAUACCUGUUCUCAGUUGCAGCUCGAUUAGUCAAGGAGGGUACACGUACUAACAUAGCCCGAUAUUUUGUACUGUAUAUUUCAAUUUGUAUAAAAAGCUAGCUUUGACCAGUUCUAAUUAGGUCCAACGAUUUUCCUCUAUAUAUUUUUAUAAUAUAUUCCUUUAUACUUUAUUAACGGCUUUUUGAGAAAUGCUUGAUGUACGGUAGUUAUAUGUUUCCAAUAAUAUUGUUGAUGUGACGGCGAUUAUAAUUAGACAGUUUAAGAUUAAAGCUUAAUUUAGACUGUAAUUAAAAUAAAUAAGUCAAUAAAAUUUUAUUACAAAUUAAAUACUAAUUAAAAACUAAUUAAAAGACUUUAUUGUUGAUGCGAUUCUGAGAUGAAAAUUUUAAACUAGCUAGCACAUUGAUGCAAUUCUUGAAGAAGGGCGAUACGAUUAAUUCAUGAUCAGCAGGUAAUUAACUAAACUUUGCUGCUGAUGAUGAAGAUCCAAAGUAGAAAAGUCAUUGUUGUAACCAAUGUGGGUGCACUCGAAGAGAUACAACUUAAUUGCUAUAAUUAGUUCUUAUAUAUGCAACUUGGUAGCUAAAGUUUUGUCAAGAACAAUUAAUAAAAUGGUAUAUAUAUAUAUGGGGGUCAUUAAUUAAGAUCGAUUAAUUAACUCAUGCGGUCGAAAAUUGGCUUUAUGGAACUGUAGAAAAGAUAAUUUAUAUAGAGGAUUAUAUUAAGCGAAAUUGAACAAAAAAUUAUGGGGAGUAAGUGUGGAAUAACGAGAUAAUUAAAAAUGUGCUUGUUUAUUAGUGUAGUGCAAUUCUUAAGAGUACUAUGGCUAACAGGGCUCGUGUAAUCCAAGUUCCGAACCAUCAAAAUUUUAAAAACAUAUUAUAUGCUUUGUUCAGUAUUAUCGCCAUUUUUUAUUUUUUUUAUAUACAAUUUUUUGAUAAAGGCAUGUAGGAGCGGAUGAUAGAUUACUUGCAUUUUUUUAUAUUUAAAAUAUUUGUUUUAGCAGCAAAAAAUUUUUUAAAAAAUGCUCACAAGUAAUUUUAAAUUUUUUUUUUUUUCCCUUUUGAAGGUAUGAUGAUUAUUCAUUAUCCUACAAAAAAAUAUAUUAUAAACUAACCAACUAUAACAAGAAGGAAAAGUUGAUCCAUCAGUACGUUUAAUUAUACGUUAUUUAAUUAUGUUUAAGAAAACGAAUAAUAAAUAAUGCGAAACAGGAACUAUAUAUAUUCGUCCAUCACCACAAGAUAACGUUUAGAGGAUUAAUCGACAAAUUAGAAUUACUUUAAAACGUAGAAACAAGCUACAANAGGAUCUAUAAUAGAGAAAUUAAUUUGUUUGAUGAGAUCCAAAAUACAUAUAUAUGUAAAAUAUUUUAUAAUUAUUAAACAUUUAUCUUCUACAAAUUAUAUUUUACAAAUUAAAUAAUAAUUCUUGCUCUACAAUUAAUAUUGAGAUGAUCAAUUAAAAUAUUUCAUUCGGUGCAUGUGGUGCGCAGGGCCAAUGUGUGCACGUGGUGCAAGGAAUAAUUUCUCGCUCGAUUGGCGCGCGUUUUCCGCCCUUUACAUCACUUCAACUUACGCAGCAUUAAGUCAUCAGAAAUGACGUCAUCGCUCCAAUCACUGUCCAAACCUCUAUCUAGUCGGCCGGCCGGCUAAAAGGAGACAAAAAAAAUUAAAAACUAGAAAAAAAAAGAAAAAGAAAAAGAAUAAAAAGCACUUUUAAUUGCGCGUUCUGAUCUGAUCUGAUCAUGCGCAUCCCUUGCGGAAAAUGAGAGCACAAAACUUUUCUAAUAAUUAAAGAUCGUUGUACGGAUUAAAAUAUAUACAUUUACUUAUUUCAAAAUUUCUACUUUAAAAUUUUGUAGGUUUUAAGAUACACCAGUUUGUUAUCCUAUUCACCGGCGCGUUUAGACAAUAAUAAGUGACAAAUAAAAAUACCUUCAAUCCUAAGGAAGCAAAUUGGGACCGAAGUAAAUUAAAAGCAUUUUUGUUUGUCAACAAAGCGUGGGGGAUCAUCUUGACUUUUGAUUCUCUUAAUAUUCAAUUAAGUGUUUAUCGAAUAAUUAAAAGUUUUAUCAAAUUCAUUUGUGAUUUUACUCAAUUUAAUUUCUUUAACUAUUUUUUGGUAAAUAAAACUAAAUGAAUCAAAAAAAAAAAAACUAAAUGAAUGACUACUAAUAAAGUAAUUAAAUUUGAUAUAAUCUCAAAUUAAAGAAUUUUUUUUUAAACAAAGAAUUUAUUUCAAAAUUCUCUGUAUUUUUUAACUCCUCCUCUCCAGAGAGCUUUUGGUGGGCCCUGCAUGGUCCAGAAAACUUUUUGUCCUCGAGAUUUUGUGCUUUGAAAAUUUCAAAGACGUCUCAUGAUUCAGGCACUCUAACGAAAUCCACAUCACUAUCAUUAAAUAUUAUAUGAAAUAUGUAAAUUUUACGUUAUAAAUUUUGGUUUCUUAAAAAAAUCAAGUAUGAUCAUCAUGUCGAGCACUCAAGUGUCAGGCCCUUAAUUUAUCUAAANUCUCUCUCUCUCUCUCUCUCUCUCUCUCUCUCUCUCUCUCUCUCUCUCUCUCUCUUUCUCUGUAUACAGGGAUUUGGAUAGUAGUUCAAAAACAAUUAAAAUAUUUCAACUAUAGGUAAUUGAAUACCAAUAACCAGAUCACAAAUUACCCUGUGGGCCCAAGAAUCACCCUAUGUACUAUGCAGAGUGGAAGAGAAAACAGUGGACUAUCUGUUCACCCGGUGUAGUUUUAGUAAGUUUAUCGUCGUGAUGGGUGUAGAUAGCCUGCAGACCCAAGACUUGGGGGACGAGGUGAACCUAGUCUGGGACAGGUGGUCGUCCAGGAUGAGCCUUUAUAAGGAGAGGAAUAAUCUAUGUCAAUUAAUAGGCUGUUGGUGGAUCAUUUGGAAGAUCAGAAACGACUUGAUAUUUAGAAGAAUCCAACCGAACCCAGAGAUAGCCGUACGUAACCUCAGGUUAUUACUGACGGAGUGGGAUUUACUUCACUCAUCUUGAUUUUUUAGGUUAAACAUUUUUUUUUUUUUUUGGGGCCUAGGUUACUCCACUCUUGUAGCCUAGUUCAUUUUUUCAAUGAAUAAAGCGGGUAGCGUGCUACAUUUUUCUCAAAAAAAUUACCAGAUCACAAAUUGAUCAAAUUCAUCCAAAUUAACAGUCCAAAAUAACAAAUCUGAGAAAUUAACUAGAAUUUUGAAUGACUUAAAACCAUUGGAUUGGCCAAAUUAAUUAAUUUUCGGUGCUUCAGAUAUAGCAAAACCCCGGUACUGCAUUUUGUUUUUCUCAAUAUUUGGACUUAACCUGGUCAUUAUCAAUAAUGAGGAUGAGCUUGACCGUGUGUUGGCUUAUGAUACCUGUUCUCAGUUGCAGCUCGAUUAGUCAAGGAGGGUACACGUACUAACAUAGCCCGAUAUUUUGUACUCUAUAUUUCAAUUUGUAUAAAAAGAUAGCUUUGACCAGUUCUAAUUAGGUCCAACGAUUUUCCUCUACAUUUUUUUAUAAUGUAUUCCUUUAUACUUUAUUAACGCCUUUUUGAGAAAUGCUUGAUGUACGGUAGGUUNAAAAAAAAAAAAAAUCAUGCAUGCAAAUUAAAAUGGAAUCUACUUAGUGGUUUACACCUAGCUAGCUGAUCAUGCUCACGGGUAUUUAUUAUUCAUUGUCAUACACUAAUAUUCGCUUUUGAAUGAUAAGGAAGAGAUCAAUAGUUGCUCGUCCCCCUAAGUCACCGUCAAUGAAACUCACUCACCUCCCAAUUGAUCUAAUGCGUGUGAAUCACGGUGGAGACACAAAUUAUACAUUACACAGAACAAUUUGGAAAAAUCUUACAAAAAUUAUUUUUUUAAAAAAAAUAAGAAAAAUAAUAAUUUAAUAAUUAAAAAUAGUAAAAUUUUUAAUUAUGUUUGAUUUUUUUGGCUGCAUGCAUCACGAUUUUUCUUUUUCUUUUUCUUUUUAAUCACUAAUUUGGAAAAGGUAAUUUUGUUAAUAUCAUCUAUGCAACUGUAUUAAUUAAGCUUGGAUAUGUAUGCAAGUAUUCAGCAUUGUUAAUAUUACCUAGGAUAUUUGAACUUUCGAAAAACUGAAUUUUAUAAUAUGUUGAUACUAUUUAGCACGUAUUCAAGUAGUCCCAAGAAAAUUACAAAUUUUAUCAAAUUUAUAUGAUAAAUUUUUAAGCAUAUUUGAUCGCCAAAUAAAUAGCGGCAAAAAAAAUAUGAAAUUUGAUUAUUAAGAAAUUCAAGUAUAUAUUGUUGAUCAUAUUUAACUAUAAUGAUUGCUAUUUCAGAUGUUUCAUUGCCGGAAAAAAAUAAAAAUAAUAUAUUAUAAUUAUUCAAAGUAUUUUAACUCAGAUCUCUCUAUCAUCUGGCGCCAGAUCUUCAUCAUAUAUUCUUCUGCAAUAAUUAAAUCUAUGUGCGUUUUGAUACUGAAUGCUGUAAAUUUGGUACGGAUUGUUGAAAUUCCGUAACAAAAGUGUCAAAUCGAAUUUUUACAAAAAUAAUCAUCUUCUCAGUAAAGACUGAAACUAUCAUAAAAGAAAAAAAAAAAACCAAAUAGAAAAAAUACAGAUAAAAAAAAUUUUACUAAACAAGAAAAGAAUAACUUCAACACUAGCUCUCUUUCUAAAUCUCUUUAAUUUUUAGUAGUAAUUUUUCAAAGAAUUAGACUACUAUAUAUACUAUCAAUAGUAGGAAGUCAUUGGUGCUAUUAGAUUUUUAGAUUCUUGGACGAAAUGAUGUGCGGUUAGGAUGAUUGUGAUUUUCUAAAAUUGAGUGGGUGGUUGGCUGAAUAGUAUAUUUUAAUGAGUGAAAAUGAUCAAUAGAAUAUAUCUAAUGGCGAAAAAUUUGAUAGCACUAAAAGUUUGAUACUAUUAAUAGUAUAGUAACCGAAUUCUUUGUUAAACCAGUUUAGUUUUUAUAUAAGAGCAGGAGUUAAAGUGCAAAAUUUUUGAGGUUUUUUUUUUUAACAAAGAAGCCGCUGCGGCUGCUUAGGUGUUUCUACCUCAUUACUCAACUUGUCCGUUUUUUUAAUUAAGGUACUUGUAAGCGGUAAUUUUUCAAACCACUUUAAUUUUUAUAUAAGAGCAAGUGCAAAAUUUUGAGAUAUUUUUUUUAACAUAGAAGCAUUGCUUUGACUGGUUGUAUUUCCGCUCCACACGACGAGUAUUACAUGGGGAUGCAAACGAAUUCGAGUUGGUAGAGUUUUCGUCCUGAUUUACUCCGAAUGAGGGUAGUUAAAAAAAAAAUAUAUAUAUAUAUAUAUAUAUAUAUAUAUAUAUAAUCUGUUUCGAAUUCGUGCUGAUCCAUUAAGUUAAUAAAGCGGGAGGCGUGCGGGAGUCCUCUUUCUUCCUUCGACCCGUCUUAAUCUGCUAAAAAUCUGCCAGAAAUUAUUUUCACCCUGAUUCUCUUCUAAUAGAGUGAUGAAUGAAAAUCAUAAAUAAAAUUAAAAUCAAUUCAUUCUAAAUUCGUCUUGAUUAGAUAAAAAAUAGAGUGGGAGGUGGAUGAACCUGUGCCUCAGAAUCCGCCCUAUUUGAAUUCGUUGGAGCAGCCCUUUAACUGCUCGCGUGGCCGCAAGAAUAGCCAACACGCGGCCAGCUCUGCGUCGACGUCGACCUAUUGACCUUAUUAAUUAGUUUUUUAUAUUCUAUUUUUCCUUUCCUUGCGGCCGAAGCUUGUUGUAAUAAAACAAUUUUUAAUCCACUGAUGGCCCUCUCUGUUUUCCUACUUGUGAGUGUGUAAUGAGAUAACACAAGCGAACAUUUUGAUUAAAUAAUAAGGAUAAUCUUCAUAUUGUCUUUCUGUAUUUUAUUUAAUUUUUUAUUUGUCAUGUCAUUUCGUGCUUCAUCAUUUUUGUGGUUUAACUCAUUUUCACUCUGUCAUCCAAUAACCCCAGUGAUUUAGUGUAUUUUUUUAAAUUUGCCACUCUGUGAUUUUUUUAAAAUUUUUUACUUCAUCAACCUAUUUUAUAUAAAAUCUUUUGAUAAAAUAAAAAUUAAACAGUACUGGGACAAUUUUUUUUUUUAAAAAACUAUAAGGUAACAAAGUGAAAAAAUAUUUAUGAUAUAUAUAUAGUUAUAUAUAUAUAAUAUAUAUAUUAUAUUAUAUAUAUAUAUAAUAGUAAAGAAGCUAUUUUAUAUUUUUCUUUCAUAUAAUUUAUAUAAUAAUAUAUAUAGAGUUCGGCUACUAUAUUCUUAUGAGAUAUACAAUUUUUUACUCAUAAGUUUUUAGCUGUUAGAUUUACCAUUUAAUCAUUUUCACCCAUUAGAUUAUAUUAUUCAACCAUCCACUCAACCUAGGGAUCCACUAUCAACCUAACGUAACCACUUUCAUCCUAACCGUAUAUUUUUUUCAUCUGAACCGGCUGAAAAUUUAUGAGUACAAAGGGCCCUUACUCAUUAUAAGUAUAGUGGAUAUUAGUUGGCCCCAGCCUAUAUAUAUAUAUAAGCUGGGGCUACUAUACUCUUAUGAGUAUAGACCCCUUCACUCAUUAAUUUUUAACGUUGAUUGAUGGAUUGUGGUAUAGGAUGACGAUGGUCCCCAUUAGAAUGAUAGUGGUCUUCUAGAGUUGAGUGAAUAGUUGGUUGAACAGUAUGAUAUAACAGGUGAAAAUGAUCAAUGGAAUAAAUCUAAGGGCCGAAACUUAUGAGUAUAAGGGAACCAAUACUCAUAAAAGGAUAGUAGCCGGAACUCAUAUAUAUAUAUAUAGUCCGGCUAUGGUGCUUAUAAAAGUACCAAGUAUUUGGUGCUUGUAAAUUUUUUGCCGUUAGAUCUACGCCUUUGAUCAUUUUCAUCGUUAGAUUAUAUUAUUCAACCAACCACCACUUAGUCCUAGGGGGCCCUAUCAUCUUUAACCACACAUUCCUUAAUCCAAGGGCUAAAAACUUAUAAGCACUAAUGACUUUGGUACUUUUAAACAUAGGACUCAAUUAUAAUAUAUUUGUGUAUAUAUAUAUAUAUAUAUAUAUAUUUAAAAGGUUUUCUUACAAGCAACCAAAUGAGCGGAAAACUAUUUUUUGAACCACGAAUAAUUUGUGCCUUUUAGUUUUAUGGAUUUUUUAAUAGUCAGCAAUGUAUAAGGAAUCUUUUCUGAGAUCUAAAGUAUUUCUUUUUGGGACUGCUUUUGGUUCCUAGUUCAAGAUCUCUUAUGGGUUAUUAGUGUGUUAGUCAAUCCAUAUGGGUCUUAAAAUUGAAUAUUCCAUUCUGUAAUAAUUAUAAAAGAUGUGGUAUACUAGCUCUAAGCCGAUUGUAUUGUAUUAAUUAAGAUAGAGAAUAAUUCAGUUAGAAGUACUAUGGUAAUUACGCAUCAAAUGUCCCAACUCAAUCCUACGAUGUGUGUCGGCAUAUCAACAAUUUUUCAGGAAUUAUUUUUGGGUAACAAUUAGGAGCACUCAUAUUUGACAAAGGCUAGAAGUUAGUGAAGUGGUACAUCUUUGAUUUGAGGGUUGGAUUUGAUAAAUUGGUAGGCGACUGUUUGAUCGAGCACAUUCUAGAAAUAAAUUUUUUUUUAGAAAAAGACAAAUAUUAAUAGGUGACUUAUAGAUCAUUCUAGAAAGAAAAUAAGAAAAAAGAAAAAUGUAAAUUUGGUUUUCUUAAUGUUGCAUUUUAGAGUUUUGAUAUGUUAGCAAACUUAUAUAAUAAUUUUGAAUUGCAUGUAUGCACAAAUUUAAGUGUUCCUAUAUCUACAAUAUACAAAAAAACAUUAAUCUAGAGUAUUUAUAAAGUAAUACCUGAAAAAAUAUUGCUUGACUACGGAUUGAUUUUUGAGAAAUGUUUAUUUUAUACAUCCAAAAAGAGGAUCCGUUUCAUAACGGAGAUUAUCUAGCUAGUAUAUUGAGUUAAUAAAAAGGUUGGAGCUAGGAAAGUACAUAAAUAUGUACUUCUCCUGUUAAGUUUUAGCAUAAAUGGAACAUUUAUUCAAAAGUAUCCCAAACAUGUGUCUCUAUAACCUAAUUCUGUUGUAGUGAGAAUUUAGAAAAUUAUUAAUGCUUCACUGACUAAACUUUACAAAAAAAUAAUUUUGGAAGGAUCAUUUACACAUAGUACAACAAAAUAGAAAAAAUUAUAUGAUUGGUCCCAACAUGAGAUUAGGAUUCAAUGACAAGUCCUUGGCUUGUUUGAAAUAAUAUAUGAGAUAUAAGGUUUAGGAGAAAUGAUUCGGUACUUUUUAAAAAAAUAAAUAAAAAAGAUCUUAACCGUUAAUUAAUAGAGGGUAAAAAUAUAACUUUAAUACUUAGCAGGUAAAAGAAUUAUUUUAUUCAAGGUUAGUUUGGUAAUUAAAUAAUACAAUAUUUAAAGAAACUUUUAAUUGAGGUCCUAAAUUUAUGCAUUAAUUAGCACUAAUUUAGGAAAUUAAUUGAUUAACCAAAUUUAUGCAAUUAUUAGGCAUUAAUUUAGGAAUCUACUUUAAAUGUUUUAGUGUUUCUCAAAUUAUGCAUUAAUUUAAAUUAUAGAAAUUUUAGAAAUAGUUUUAUUUCUAAAUACGAUGAAUUUAAAUUUUAAAAAUUAAAUACUUAAAAUUUAAAAGUGAAAUUUAAAUUAGAGGAAUUUCAUAUUACUAUUUAAAAACUAAAUUUCUACCAAGAUUUAAAAUACAGUUUAUUCGCACCAGUUUAAAACGUAAUGCAUAAAAAACUUAGAGAGUAAGAUUUCUACAACUAGAUUUCUCUAGAGGAAUUUCAUAUUACUAUUUAAAUUUUAAAUUCAAUGAUUUAAAAACUAGAUUGAACCGAUUGAUUUGACUGAUCAGACUUUGACCUAUUCUAUCAAGAAUCUGAUUUUAACCUAUUGAACCGAAUAACAUUAAGAACAAUUUGGAACCGGUAAAGAUAAUAAAUAUUUUAAACAGAAUGAUAAUUUAACUGUUAGAGCUAAUAAAUAUUUUAAAUAUAAUUUUAAACAUAUAAAUUAAAAAGAUUAGAAUUAUUGGUGAGAAAAAAAAUAGUUAGGAAUUUGAAUUCGAAUCUGACUAACAAUCACAAAACUUAUUUCCGAACUCGACGGAUUUCAAAAAUCCAUAUCCAAAUUCAAAACUGACCAAUUUUUCGAAACCCAAAACCAAACCUAAACCAGAAGACUAGAAUUCAAACAAUUAUUUCUGUUUACCAUAUUUCAAAGUAUUUAUAUGAAACUUAAAUUUUUAAAAUAUAAAUUUGAAUAUAAUAUUAAAUUUUAAAUUUAAAAGUGAAAUUUAAAUUAGAGGAAUUUUAUAUUACUAUUUAAAGUUUAAAUUCAAUGAUUAUAUUGUCAAAUCAUUUGAAAUUUUUCCUAUAUGAAAUGCCAAAUUAUGAAAGAAAGAUAGAGAGAGAAAAAGGAAACAAAGAAAAAAUAAAAAUUUUGAAAAUAUAGUAGAUGUAAAAUGACUAAAUUGUCUAUGUAUUAAAAGACAAAAAUAAUAUUUUUUGAGGUACCUGGUAACCGGUACCUCUCCCAAAGUGACCUGCUAUUGCAGGUCACAAUUUAAAAAAAACUAAAUCUGAGCCGUUCAAUACGCAUGAAUGAACGGUAACAAAAAAAAAAAAGUAUAGAAGCAUUACUCAAGGUUUAGUAUAUAAAAAAUAGUAGGCGCACGUACGCUCCAAAAAAAAUGUAUAUAAUAUACACCUCUCCUCCUUAGGACUAACAAAGUCCACCGAGUUUUUAAUAUUUAUAAAAAAAAAUUUGAUAAAGUAAUUAAAGGACUAAUAAUAGCCCUUGAAUAAAGGGCUAUAAGAUUUACACGUCUUUUUGGGUGUUGGUGUAGUAUUUUUCUUAAUAUAUACUAAUUAAUAGUGGGGUUAGAAUACUUUUACAAGUACAUAAAUAGUGCACACUAUUAAUUUUUUAACUAAAAGAUGCUUAGAAUUUAGAUAGUGAUAAGUGAAAUAGUAUUUAGUUUGAGAGCUAAAAAGUUAGGAAUUUGCACUACUCGUGUGCUUCUUAAGGCAUUUAAGAUGAACUCUAUAUAAUGUUCAAAUUUAAUGUACUCAUCUUAAUUUAUGUUAAAGCAAUACAACUAAUUAUAAUUUUACAUUACAAAUAAUUUUAGCAGUGAAGCAGUGAGCCAAUGAGAAGAGUUCAGUUCUUUUUAUAUAUUCUUUAUUUAUUUAUUUAUUUUAAUAUACUCCAAUCAAUAACUGCAACUAAUUCUUUUUAAUUACGAGACCAAAUAUGCUAGCUAGCUUGUGUUUCCUUUUUGUACAAUUAAUUGUACCAUUUUUCAACUAUGCCGGGUCAAAUUAUGGUUGCACUACAAUUUGUGGCCUCCCAUAGUGGGACUGCAUUAAUGUAGGCAAGUUUAUCACGGAAAGGAUAAUUAUAUUUCGGAAUCUAUAAUAAAGGACUCGGAUAUUAUCGUGUCCAUAUAAUAAAAUAAUUAUUAUUUUAAAAAAAUCUAAGUUAUAAAAAAAAAAUUUAUUUAUUUAUAUAAUUUAUAGUUGCUAACACUAAUGGGAAAAGACUUGAUAGUUGGUAUUGGGCAUCUCAAAUUUGAUGUCUAAUUGCUUCGUAUUUUUUAUUUAUUUUUAAUUUAAAAAUAAUAAAUGAAUUAUCCUCAUGAUCUCUCUCACGGAAAUAAGAGAUAUUUAGAACUGUAUUUUAAAUAUUUAUAUUUAUAAAAAUCUUGAAUGAGAGUGCUUUGAAUCACGUGAUGAGAAUUUACGUUUUUGGUUUUUUUUUUUUUUUGUUGAGAAUUGUUUUAAUUCUUAUAUUUUUUAGUAUUUAAAUUAUCUUAAUUACUGUUUUAUUUUUUUAAAGAAAUAUAAUAUUUGAUUUGUGUUAAUAUUUAAGAUAAUAUGGUUGUUGAUAAAUUUAUAAUUUUUUUACUCAAAUAUGCAGAUUAAAAUAAAUAUUAAUAUAACUUUUUAUUACAUUUGUAAUGUAGAGGCAGGUGAAACCUCCUCUUUGCAUAAUAAAUAUUUAGAGACAAUUCAAACCGUCUCUACAAAUUAAUAUUGGUAGAGGCAGUUCAAACGCUUUUAUAGAUUAAAAUUUGUUGAGAUGUUUACAAAUGUCUUUAUAUUAUCAUAAUAAUAAAUAAAAUAUUAAAAAUAUUAUUAAGGGAGAAAUAUUGUGGCCCUCUUAGCUGGAGUUGCUUAAUUUCUGACAUGUCUAUGAAUGUUUGACUUUCUUGAGUUGAUGCAAUCUUUGUCGAUCUCACCGACUCUCUGAAAAUUUCGGGCGCAUUUGGGAGUCACUUCGGAAUCUCAUAGUCAAUGCUCCACUGCACAACAUAUAUAUAUGCAGGUUUGGUCAAAAAAAAAAAAAAAACAAAACAAAACAAAAAAUAACACAGUAUUGUUACUUUACAACAGCUUCACCGCGAAGAAAAGGAUAAUUAAACAGUAGUUUCCAAGCUAUAGGCCCCGGUUAUGAUCACCACCAAACAAUUGUUAAUACUGUUAGAUUUUUGUUUAGAUUUGUAUUUAUUUAAUUGAAAAUUGAAUCCUAAUUAACUAAUUAAAUUAGUAUAAAAAUGGAUUUUAGGUAUGUUAGUUACAAAUAGAAUUUAAUUAGAAGUCUAAUUAGCUCUAUAACGGAAGGCAUGUGGUCCGCACGGAGGUUGCAACAUCGUCAUCAUGGCCGAGCCGCUUUGGCGUCUUUUCUACGGAUCAAAUUAAAAUUUUGAUUUUGAGAGAUAUAAUUUUGUACUCCGCUUUCGACAUUAGUAAAAAUUUUUUCUCCGUUUUCGUCUGUAGAAAUAGGCCGAUGGAUGAACCACGUAAAUUUUAAUGUGUUCUUUUUUUUUUUUUUUUCUUUUCUAUAUUAAUUUUUUUGGACCUAUUUUUCGUUAUUUUGAUUUUAACAAAUACCAAUGAAAAAUAUACGCGUAGAGACGUGGUUGUUCCUGGCUAUAAUAUAUGAUCAUGGAGGCUCAACAAUUCAAUGUAAAGUGUUUCAUUUAAUCACAUCCGAAGAUGUUUUAUUUACUCCAUAAUAAUUAACUAGUAGGCUAGUGUGAACUACAUGUGAAACGAAGAAAACCCCUUACCGUAGGCUAAUGUUUCAUUGGUUCUCCAUGUAUAUGAUUAAUUGCUCAAUAAAAGAAUAAAAUAUAAAAGGAUAACAAAAGAUAGCUCUUUGUAUUCUCCAAGGGCCAGUCAUGUUGCAGAAAAUUGAGUUUUUUGAAAAAAAAAAAAACCACUAAUAUUGUAUUAAUAUAAAUUUUGCAACAUUCAAUAAAUUUUUAGCCAUCAUUUGCGAGUUUGUACCUAUCAAACCACCUCAUAUUCUAGACAACACCUAUUGUAUCACACUUGCAUCACGUCAGUAGUAACAAGUCAAUUAUAUCUUUUUUUUUGAAAAAAUUGUAUAGUAAAAAUAUUUUUUUAUUAAUCAUGAUGGAAUGAAUGAACUUAAGAAAGAUGAUUUUAUUAAUUAAAAACGUCAUAUCAGCAAUAUAAUUGAUGUAUUUUAAAAAUUUUCAAUGGUAUAUAUAUAUAUGUGUACAAGAGCCCCAGCGACAUUCAAAGCCAUUUUGUUUGGGUACACCGUGCACUAAUAAUAGAAGCCACUCAUAUUUCGCGAGGAUUUAGGCAUUAGUAGAACUGUGUCGCUGAUGAUUUGUUGCCCAUGCACGUGUGUUGACCCAACCGCGUACGACUGACGCUGAAUUCAGCGGCUGAUGCUGACAACAUUCUAGAAACAAAAAAAAUAAUAAAAUAAAAGGAGAUGAUCGAUCUCUGCUCCGAAUUAAUUUUGGAUUUGCUUAUAACAACAUGUAACUAAAUCAUUAAUCAAGAGGACUUAAUUGGAGCACAAUUUGAGGAAAAAAAAAAAUGAAGCAACAUGUUGAUUUUAAUUCAUCAGCCGUAAUUGAAAAUGAUAUGAGCAAUCAAUUUAUUUCAGUUAAUAUUUGAUCCAAUAUUUAAUAUACUUAUUAUUUCAAUUUAUGGUGUAUUUAUAAAGUUUUGGCUGUUGAACGAAGAGAUGUGCCGUUAGGAUGACAAUGGUUUCCUAGGGGCUAGGGUUGAAUGGGUGGUUGGUUAAAUAGUAUGAUUUAACGGGUGAAAAUGGUUAAAUGGGUAGAUGUAACAGUAGCCGAACUCUCUCUCUCUCUCUAUAUAUAUACAAUUAUCACCUAACGGAAAAAUAUUUUUGUAUAGUAGCCGAACUCUCUCUCUCUAUAUAUAUAUACAAUUAUCACCUAACAGAAAAAUAUUUUUGUAAAGCUAACAAGUAACAUAUGAAGUUUAAAGUAUAAGUAACAAUUUACAAUUUAGUUGAAGUUUUGGGAUUCUUAAAAUUAAGUUUAUAUAGUAUAAAAUCUACAAGAAGCUUAUAGUGGUUUGGCGUGAUGAACCAGGCGAAGAAAAAUGAACAAAAGAAGAAAAAAAAAAGAAGAAAAAGAAAUAAGAAUAUUUUGAUCAAUUUAUCAAAAAUUCAGGUCGAAUAUGUAAAAUUUUAAAAAAUUAAUAGUCUAUUUUUGCAAAAAUACAAAAUCGGUAGACUUUUUAUGCAAAAAGGCUAAAUUAAAUUAUUACAAAAUAUAUUUUAUUGCAACAUUUUGUGUCGUUAUGAUAGUGCAAAUCAUGAUCAUAUCAUUUAGUCAUUUAUUACUAUAAAUUUAUUAUAAUGAUUUAAAAUAAUUUCUUAUUAUAAAAAAAAUAUUAUUAUAAAUAGUUACCCAUUGGAACAGUAUUUAUAAUUGAUGGAAAAGAAUAAAUUUUUAGUAGUGAAUGAAGUCAAUUCUGAGUGUAACAAUCUCACCAUGUGUCCAUGACGUUAAUAAUCCAAGAAUUAUAUAAUAGAUGUCAUUAACUAUUCUAAUGAUUAUAUGAUAGACAUGAUUAACGUAUAAAAAACACAAAUUAAAGAAUUAAUAUAUUAUGAGUGUCGAGUGUCAAUCGACAUCUGUUAUGCUUCCCAUGUUAGACUUGACUGGGCCUUUUUUGAUAAAUAAAAAAAAGAGAAAACUUCAAAAUAGACUUCUCCUUUCUUACUUUCUCACUUUAGUAUCCUAUGGUUUAAAGUGUAUCAAUUUGUCCCCCUGUGGUUUCGUUUUUUUNGUGGGAUCUCUCAUAAUACAAAUGGAUCUCAUCCAAUUCGCAUGGUUUGAAGUUGGAUUUGGUGAGAAUUCAUCUGCUAUUAGUUAUCCUUUAUCAAUAACCCAAACUACCCCUCCUCAAAUUAAUUAUACAUCUUUCUUUUUAUAUAAGUGAGGAUACAUAGAAAAAGUAAUCUUAUUAAAAUGAUUACUCAUCUUAUACCAAACAACAAAACGGAAUAAAAUUCAGCUGAAAUCUGACUUAAUCCAAACAAAGAAAUACAUUUCUAGAUAAAUUCAAUUGAUUUUUUUUUUUCAUUUGGAUUCCAUUAAAUUCUAUUUAGAUUGUUGCUAAACCAAGUUUUCAUGAACCAUUUGAGACAGUAAAAGCUUAAUUGUAGAUAGUAUCAUAAUUUUGACGAUGUUCUGAUGCAUGAACAUCUUACUUUGAUUUACUCAAGAAGCAUACGGUAUUUAAUAUAUAUUAGUAUGAUAAGAUGUCUGGAACAGAUAUCAUACGUAGCCUUUAAACCAUUUUUUCAGGAUAAGAUAGAUCACCUCGUAAUGAAAUAUGUUAUCCUAUCAAAUCAUGGAUGCCGAGACCUUCAAAGGAGCAAAAAAAAAAAAAAAAAAAAAAAAAAAAAAACCCUAUAAUAAUAGAGAAAUUAAUUUGUUUGAUGACAUCCAAAAUAUCUAUGUAAAAAAACUAUGUAAAAGAGUUUAUAAUUAUUAAACAUUUACUUUUCACAAAUUAUAUUUUACAAAUUAUUAAAUAAUAAUUCUUCCUCUGCAAUUAAUAUUGAGAUCGAUUGAUAGGGUUAGUAAUGUGAAUCUUUUAUAAUUUCAUUAGGUGCAUGCGUGUGGUGUGCAGGGCCAAUGUGUACACAUGGUUCAGGAAAUAAUCAUUCAUGGGUGACGCACUUGGCGUCUUCCUCGCUUUACAUCACUUUAUCGUAAGCAGCAUUAAUUAAGUCAUCAUUUCUUACGUCAUCGUUCCAAUCAUAGCACGCUCUGAUCAUCCACUUAUAUUUUCAGGCAUAUUCGGUGGCAUUAUUAUUCGAGCUAAGAUUAGUCUAGUAAUGGUUGCACCGUUUGGUACAAUCAUGUGCCGAAAAAAAAAAAAAAAGAAAAAAGAAAGAAACUUGGGGAAGAAUAUACUAAUUUCAUGUCAUUGAUAAUAUUUUACUGUAUACAGUGAUUAUUUAUACUCCCCUUUACAUGUACUGAAAUAUAAAAAUGAUAGAAAGAGUGAACUAAUUAAGUUGCAAAAGUUAAUAAAAUAAGAAAUGGGCUAUGAAGGCCUCAAUCCGGAAAGAUUCUUGGUCUCUUCUUGGAUUAGGCUGAUGCAAUAGAGGAUCGGUUUUGGAUUGGAAGACCUCUUUUCUAAGUAAUCUGGGUCUAGCACCGAUGCAUUCAUUUCUAGGCUUGGCUCAUGGGCGUCUCUCCCGACCACCCGACCCAUUAGCUGGGUUCAAACGUACCCUUCCUUCCAACCCUGCGUUUGCCUAGAUCCUGUCGGGAUCUCCAACUUUGUUUCAGAUGGAUCUAAGCCGUCGUCUUCUCGAUCCCGGCCGCCCGGCCGCUGCGACUGCCGUUCGCCGUGGUUGCUAACUCCAAGGGCGCGCUCUCUUAGACCCCCUUGAGCUCCUUCUGGAUUGUCGCUUUUUUAUUCCCUUUUUUCCUUGCUAGCUAUUUUUCUACUACACCACCAUAUUACUAUAUAUCUAAGCUCAUUUGUUUGUUACUCAGGAUGUUACAGUGCGCCGCUGGAGUACUGGCCCUGAGCAAUUUUCCCGGCGACGUGGAGGAAGAGCAGGGAAGCUAAUGCUCCGAGGAGCAGGAAGGCGAGGACGUAGGGCAAGGGGGCGGCGCCGGGGGUGACGAGGGAGAAGCGGACGACGGCGGCGCAGAGCACGAAGGCGAUGGCCAGCAGCAGGACCCUCUGGUGCAGCGCCGCGACGCCCGGAUCCCCCGAGCGCACGACGGCGUGCAUGGAGAGGCCCAGGCUGGUGAAGAGCCCCAGGCAGACGAAGGCAAGGUAGGCGGCGUGGAGUUCGGGGAGGUGGCCGUUCGCCGCCGGCGGCGCGUUGACGAAGAGCAACAGCGACCCGGCCGCCGAGGCCAGCGCCACGGGCUGCACCAGCUUCGCCACCCGCCUCGCGUCCAAGCCAUCGUCCCGCCGGCCGGCGACCGCCGGCGGCGGGGAGGGUUCGCCGGACUCCAAGUCCAUCGCGGCCAUCGCGGUCGGCGGCAGCAGCUGCGGAGGCUGGGGCGGAGUUUCGAGGGCCAGUUCGGGCGGCGGGGAGCCGGAGCUGAGGAAGCGGCCGAGGAAGGGGUGGGACGAGAAGGAGGAGAAGAAAGAAGAGACGUAGGCGAGGCCCCAAAGCAUUAUUGCGAUGGGAAGUUUUAACGUAGGGAGAGAGAGAGAUAGAGAGAGAGACAGAGAGAGAUCAAGAUAGAGAGAGAGAGACAGAGUGGUGUGGCUUUGGAAGUUUGAUGAUGUUUAUUUAUUGGUUAAUUUAAGGGAAAACUUCAAAAACCCCCCCUGUGGUUUCGUGCAUUCUCACUUUGCUACCCUGUGGUUUAAAACGUAUCAAUUUACCCCCAUGUGGUUUCAUUUUUAUCUUUUCGGAAGCUUUUUCGUUAAUAUUUCGUUAAAUUAUAUACAAAAAACUUCAGAUAACCAUCUAUAUUUAUCGAAUAGUCACUUUAGUAUUCUUUAAUUUUAACUUUGUCACUGAUUUUAAAAAAAAAAAAUAAUAAAAUUGAUAACAAAAAGAUAAAAACGAAACCACAGGGGAGCAAAUUGAUACGUUUUAAACCACAGAGUAGCAGAGUGAGAAUGCACGAAACCACAUGGGGAGUUUUUGAAGUUUUUCCUUAAUUUAAUGUGCUUUAAUAAAGUUUGGGGACUAAGCUGGAUCGCCACGACGGAUGUCUUUUUUUUUUUUUUUUCCUCUCUUUCUAGAAACAAAGGCAUUUUUUCUUUCCAUCCGUGGUCGGAUCGGACCGCAUAGUCCCCAAACUAAUGUGAAAUGGGUCGGUAUAUCUACGACUUUUUGGAUCUUCUUUUUAUAAUUAUAUAAUGAAUUUAUUCUCUAUCUUUUAAUCCAUCCGUCAAUUCCACAGCCGUUUCCUACUACAUCCGCUAAUUUUUCUCAGGUAAUUUUAACUUUUUUAUUAAAUGCUAAAAUUUAAAAAGAUUUUUUAAAUCCUAGAUAUGAGGGCUAUAAUUUUUGGAGCGAUGGUUGUAAUCCUACAAUCUUUUUUGUGUAGAAUACUCAACAUUUUUCUUUUAUAAAUAAGGUAUUAUUGGGGUAGCAAGUGUGCAGUAACAAUUUUCUUACUGUAGCAGCAUAACUUAUUAUAUGCUUACAAAUAUUUUGGAAUUAAAAAAAUUCUAACUCAAUUAAUUAAAUUUUCUCUCAUAUUUAUAAAUCAUAAUCUGUAAUUUAAAAUAUUGUGGUUAAUUUAGCUGCUGAACAAUAUUGAUGUUGUUGUUCUUCCAAUUUAUCGAUAAUUUGGCUGGACAUUCAUCAUUAGUGGAGUGAUCACACUUAAGCCACAUUUUGAGAGAAAUAACUAACUUCUUAUUUUAUUCUUUCGGCUGGAUAAUUAAUUUUUCUAACAUAUUUCUUCCCAAUUUUUGAAAAUGGAAGAUGUGGGGCGUCAACGGAUAGUUCUGGAUAAUUUUGGAGCUUGAUUAAUUAUGCUUACAACGACUUGGUAUUAUUUUUAUUAUUAUCAUUAUUAUUAUUGUUGUUGUUGUUGUUGAUUUCAUGUAUUCCCAUGAAACAAACUGUUCCUUAUUAAUUUGUACAAGGAGUUCAUUCACGAUUAAUUCUCUCUAAUAUGUGCAAUUACAAUUAGCAGUUAAUUGGAGAACAUAUAAUAUGUACAUUGUUGCUACAUUAAAAACUAUGCGCAUCUUCACUAUAUCUUUCAUCCGAAACUAGUUAAUUAGUACAAUUUUCUUCUUUCUUUUUUCUUUCUUUCUUUUCCUCCCCAGUUCUUUGCGAUUAAUAAACGAAUCAAGGUUACACAAUAAUUAUCUUAGGUGAUCAUCCAUUCUCUGCUAUUUUAAUCAAUAGAAAUAUGUUCAGUUGUUCAACUGCUACAGAAAAAUUAAGAACAAGAUAUAUUUUAGAGUGAUCGAUCGAGCAAUGGACUGUGAAUGCUUAUAAGAAAAGCUAACUAGCCACUACUCUUGCCUCUUGGCCGGUUGUAUAUAUCAGAACACCAAGUCAAAUGAGGCUGCUAAAUUAAAGUAGAGGGAAAAAUGAUACAAUUAAAUUAUAAGAGAAAUAGGACAAGGUGGCCCAAAACUCUCCAUAUAUAUUCCAAUAUCAGAUUCUAUCCAAAAAUCAUGGGUCAAUUUGUGCUUUUGCUGGUUCUAGCUAGGAGUACUGAUUUUUGAUUGGUGAUCUCCAAGGGUUGGGUUUCUUCUUUCACAGAUGAUGAAGUGAUCGUAUUAGUUUGAUCUUGAAUGCUCGAAAAAAAAUUACUUAAUACUUAUGCCAUUUAAUUAUUAUUGGUUUAUAUAUAUACAAGUUAAUGGCAAAUUAAUUAAUUGAUUUUGUAGUUUUUGUGUGAUUUUGAACUAUAUUAUUAUGCCAUGUCUGCGAUUGUUAUAUGUAGAUAGAUAUAGUAUCUUUCAAAUAUCAUAAAAUACAUCUAAUAAAAUAAGUUUUUAUGUUAAAAUUAAUUUUCAUCAUUAGUUUUUAAUAAUCGGGUUUAGUGUAUGGACCGUAAAUAUACAUCCGGUGCGGCCAAUAAUUUCUCGUUAGAGCAUAGUUACACGUCACAUUGAUGACUUAGGGGCUGUUUGGUUAGAUGUAGUUAAAGAAACAGUAUAGUUGGAAGUCCAUGUAAUUGUAAAUGCUGCAGUCAUAACUAUACGUAGUCUGAUUGGUUUUAUGCAGUUGCAACUGCUACAGUUAUAUUUCUUCUGUUUGGUAGUGUGCAGUUGAGAUUUGUAUUUGUAAUUUUGUCUAUUUUUAGAUAGAAAUGUGAGAUAUUUGUAUUUGUAAAUUUUGUCAAUUUUUAGAUAGAAAUGUGAGAUUAUCUCUUCUGAGCAUAAUGUAAUCAUAUUUUAAUUAUUAAUUAAGACUUUUAUAUCUAUAUAUAAUUUAUAUAUUAUAAAAUUAUGUAUAAAUUUAAUAAAUUUUAAAUGUAAAUAUAUUAUAAAUUUAGUCAAAAUAAAAAUUAAAAUAUUAUUAAACUAGCAGACUGAAAAAUAAAAACCGUAUGAAAAAAAUUUAUUGACUCUAACAAAUAUUACUAAAUCCUAUCUGAUUUCAUGAAUAUAUAUUUUUGAGAAAAAAAAUAAAAAAAGAAGCGUUGUCUAGUCAAAUAAUUAAGGCUGCUAAUGUAGAGGAAAAUGACAAAAUCAAAUUUCAAUUAAACUUGUUUAAAAAAUACCAAUAUUCUUUUCGUAAUUCAGUGUUAAUUAUUAAUACAAAGGAAAUACAUAGGAAAAGUUGGCCUGCAAAACUUACGGGUCAAUGGUCGCCAUGCAAUUUGCUUUUGGUUCUAGACUAGAAGAGAAAACUUAGCCACAUAAAGCGCGACAAUUCGGGCUCAAGAUAGAUUUUAGGGUGCGUUCGGUUUGCGCUAUCUUUUUAAGAUUCCUAGUAAUACAAUGAGGAUAAAAAAAUAUGACGAUGUUUGGCUAAAGACACUAAGUGAAAAUGAGAUUCAUUCCAAAGUACUAAUCUUAUUCUUUGCGGGAGAGUGGGUAUCCUCAUAUUAAUGAAUUGGGUAAUCAUAAUAUGUCUAAUCUCUUUUUUUCUCCCUACCCGCCGGCUAGUUAGUAUUAUUAUCCUUUACACUCUAACCUCAUAUCUCUCUCUAAAAUUAUCUUUUUCUCUCUAAACUUCAACUCUUUUUCUUUCUCUAAACUAAGCUCUCUCCCCCUCUUUUUCUAAAAUUUCAACUCCCUCACUCCCUUUAAUCUCGACUCUAUUUUUCUUCUUAUUCUUUAAUUAUGCUCUGUCUCUCUAACCUAUAUUUUCUUUCCAUUUUUUCUAAAAAGAUGUUGAAAUUUUUGGUAGCAUUAUCUAAAAUUAAUUAAAGAAAUAAAUAAAUUAAUUGUAUAUUUUUUGUAAACUUAAAUAACAUGACUAAAUAAUAUGACCGUGCGAACCAAACACAUGAAUACCACAUUCUUAGUAAUAGGAUGAAUAGGAAUAAAAUUAUCGGAUAUCUUUUUACUCCUACUAAUCUUUCAUAGUGCGAACCAAACGUGCCCUUAGUUUGAUAUUAUGUCUAAAUAUUCAUAGAAACUUCAUCUUAAAUGUUCGGGGGAAAUUAUAGCUGAUAAUCAUGCCAUUUUUGGGUUAAUUAUGUCAACUAUUUUUUUUAAAAGAUGGCUUAUUAAGUGAUUGCUAUCUUUAGUUUUACUUCUUUUGGAGUUAGUUUGCUUCAAACUUUCUUAUUUUUGAUACAAAAGAAACUUAUUUGGGAUUUUAGGUUCCAACCAUCAAGCUUUAAACUAACUGUGUGCGCGAUGUAUGGUCAAUAUCAGUCUUUUAAAUAUAAUAAAACACAUCCAAUGAAUUAAAUUUUGAAUUUAAGAACAUUGUAAUGGGACAAUAGUUCUCAUUUGUGCAUGGUAAUACAUCAGAAACACUGUAAUAUAAGCAAAGUUUGGUUAUAGUCUCAUAGAUUUUGUAUUAGCUACUGAAGCGCCGCCUUAUCUAUAGAAUAUCCCAAUUAGACAAAUUUGGUCAUUAAUUGGACUUCCCAAGUUCUAGAAGCCAUUGAAAGUGCAUGCACCUACAAAUUAGUAAUCUCUCUCUCACACGUGUAAGUGUGGUUAAUUUUAAAUUAUAUUUAGCAAAGGGAAAAUCCCAACUUUUUACUGCAGCGGAAAAAUACGAAGACUUUCAAACGUAAAAUACGAACCUUUCGAUUCAAGAAAUUUGUUUCUGCCGUAAUCCGUUGAGAUGAAAUUUUGCACAAAGUACUCCUUAGAAUAUAUCUCUAUAUAUACAUAUAUACAUAAAAGCACUUCAAAAUUUUGGUACACAGGCCAUAACUAAUUAAGGCGCCAGGAAUGCUUGAAAGGAUCAUUAAUUCGUAUAUAACUUCAAAAACAAAUAUUUAAUAGCACAAGGGCUGCUGUACUCCUAAUAGCACAGUAGCCCUACUCUCUCUCUCUCUCUCUCUCUCUCUCUCUCUCUCUCUCUAUAUAUAUAUAUAAAUCUAGACUGGAAUACUAUCAAUAGCACCAAGCUAUUGGUACAUGUUUUUAGGUUUUCGGCUUUUAGAUGAAAAAAUAUAUGGUUAGAAUGAUGUGGAUCCUCUAGAGUUGAGUAAGUUAUUAGUUUAAUAAUAUAAUUUAACGAGUAAAAAUAGUCAAAGAAUUAAAUUUAACGGCAGAAAACUUAAUAGCACCAAACUCUUGGCGCUAUCGAUAGUAGCCCUACUAUAUAUAUAUAUAUAUAUAUAUAUAUAUAUAUAUAUAUAUAGAGUCCGGCUAUGGUGCUUGUAAAAGCACCAAGCACUUGGUGCUUGUAAUUUUUUACCAUUAGAUCUCUGCUUUUGAUCAUUUUUACCCGUUAGAUUAUACUAUUCAACCAACCACCCACUCAACCCUAGAGGGCCCACAUCAUCCUAACCGCACAUCCCUUAAUCCAAAGGCUGAAAACUUACAAGCACCAAUGACUUGAUACUUUUAAAAGCAUAGGAGCUCAAUUAUAUAUAUAUAUAUAUAUAUAUAGCAAGAUUACUGUACUAUUAGGAGUACGGUAAUUCUCGUGCUCCUAACUUCUUAACCAUUCAUCAAUUUUGAUGGAUGGUUAGGGUGAGAGAGUGAAGAAAAAUUUAGAAGAAAUUGGAUGUAUUAAUUUCUCUUCUCUUUGAACUUUUAAGUUGAAUGUGUUUUAGUACAUUUGUCACAGAUAUAAACUUAGGGUUUUGGGCUUGACUAGUACUUCCUAACAAGGCUUAAAUUCAAGAAUAGCUAGCUGCAUGAAUAACAAAUCAUAUAAUCUUACAUUGACAAUAGUCUCCGUUAAAUUUAACUAUGUCUUAGAGUGCUUAAUUUGUCUUACUAAUUAACCCUCUUCUUAGUUGGUGUUGCUUUUACACGCGUUGUGAAAUUUUGACUUUCAUGAUUGAGAAUUCGUGCACAGGGCUACUGUGCUAUUAUGAGCACAGUAGUUUUUAUAUUUUUAACUUCUUAAUUAUCUAUCAAUUUUGAUGAAUGGUUAAGGUAAGAGAGUGAAGAGAAAUUAGGGAGAAAUUGUAUGUCUUUCUCAUCAAUUUUUCUUUUUUCUCUCAUCCUAGCUAUUCAUCAAAAUUAAUGAAUAAUUAGAAAGUUAAAAGUAUAAGGACUAUUGUGCUCCUAAUAGUACUAUUAAACCCUACUCUCUCUCUCUCUCUCUCUCUCUCUCUCUCUAUAUAUAUAUAUAUAUAUAAGUGGCGGGUUCACGUGUCACCGUGAGGUUCCGCAACCCUCCUUUAUUGUAGUAGAAAUGGAAAAUAGAUGUACAGCCUCUCCCAGCAUUAAAUUAAAAUGUUGAUAAUCACAAUCCUUUUUGCAUACACAUAUAAGAUUUUAAAACAAAAUCAAUCAAGUUUGAAUAUUAUAUGAGUUUUGUAGAUUUUACAAGAGUUUAUUAGCAUUUCAAUUUGAUGAUGUAUAAAUUCUCGAUUUGGCAACGUUAUUACUGGUUGCAUCAGCAAUAAUCGUCGCCAUCCUCGUGGCGAAAGUGGACAAGUAUGUGCUCUCCCCAUCUCUCCUAAUUUUUUUAUCUCAUAAAUUAUUUAAUUAUUGUCGCUAACCAUACUUUGAAGGCAAUAAUCUCCAUUAAUUAUUUCACUUGCUAAUCAGUCCUUUAAUUAACUAGCUUGUUUUGACCGUUGAAUUGGGUGUUGAGGAUAAUUGAUGUAUGAUCCACCAACCUCUUUUAUAUAUAUAUAUAUAUAUAUAUAUAGUAGGAGUAUAGCGGUUUUUGUGCUUCUGACUUUCUAAUCAUGUAUCAAGUUUGAUGGAUGAUUAGGAUGAGAUAGUGAAGAGAAAUUUAGAAAAAAUUGGAUGUCUUAAUUUCUCUUCUUUUUGAAUUUCUUCUAAAUUUCUCUUCUCUCUCUCAUCCUAACUACCUAUCAAAAUUGAUAAAUGAUUAGGAUGUUAGGAGCAUAAAAGCUACUGUGCUCCUCCUAAUAGCACAGUAACCCUACUAUAUAAUUAUAUAUAUAACUUAUUAAUUUUAUUAAUAAAUUGCAUAAUAAAUUAUAUAAAUCGCGUGUUAAGAUUUAAUCCAAUAUAUGUGAUCUAAAUCACGUAAAGUGCCGAUAUACAAAAAAAAAUACAAAAUUUAAAUAUUUUUAAUAGGAUUUUAGAAAUGUGAUGUAUACUAUUUACUAUACACCUAAUGCACGAAAAAUAUUUCUCUCACCGUCCUAUCUUACUUUUCUCAACUAUGAAAAAUUAUUGCCCGCACCUGGUAUAUUAGUACAUUGCACACACCAAAUCUUUUUUUUUUAUAUCAAUAUUAUAAAAUUAAAAUAUAAUCUAAUAUAUGUGAUCUACACCAUAUAAAAACUCUAUAUAUAAAAAAUUACAAAGUUUAUAUUUUUAUAAUAAAAUUUUAAAAACUUUGUGUAUAAGAUUUAUUCAUACAUAUGGUGGAUGAAAUAAUUUCUUUCCACUAUUUUAUUUCUCUUUUAUUUAUUGAUUUAUUUAAAUUAUUUAAAUAGAUUUUUUUCAAAUCUAUUCUGCAUAAGUUUUAUUAAUAAUUCAAUUAUUAAAUAAUUUAAUUACUAAUAAGCUGUUAUAUAAUUUACGUUGCACAAAUACCAAUUUUAGCUAUUUUUCUUUAAAUAGGUUUGUUUAUUAAUUUACUCUUAUAUAACUUUAUUUAAUUAAUAAUUAGACUAAUAAAAUUAUCAAAAAAUAUUAAAAUAUAUACAUAAAUUUAUUACUAAAAUAUUUUUUAUAUCCGUAGCAUUGUGCGGAUUUUCCACUAGUGUAGGUAAAUAUUGACCCUAUGCCGAAAAAUACUUCGGAUAAAUAAAUAUAUAUUUUUGUUCAUCUGAUAAUGAUUAAAUAAUACUUUUAUAUUUCAGACCUAAUGUUCGCAUGGGAUGCUACAGUUUUUUUUUUUUUUUUUUUGAGAGAUAGAUAGCACGCUACCCGCUUCGUUUAUUUCAUUUAGAAAUAAACUUAGCUGGAAAUGUGAAUCAAGUAGGAUUCGAACUUAGGACCUCAGGUAUUAAUCACCAAGCUCUUUGCCACUUGCUCUAGGGACGGUCGGUCAUGGAAUGCUACAGUUGAGUUUGAUUUCCACACCCUUGCUAAACUAGGUAAUCUAACAUCUGAAAGGAACAAGUUUAAUUUUUGAUGUACUUGGCAAUUUAUUUUGUAAUUAAUUUUGUUAAUUAAUUGUUCCCCUAUUUGGACAAGUUGAGAAUAUUAAAAGGUGUCUUGAGUUACUUAAUUGCAAGCCCUUGAUUAGUUGAUGCCAUUUGAUUGACCCUAGUAAGUGGCCAACGCAUCGCAAGCUUUUACGUUCUGUCAUUUUCCUCUAUCUUUAAGCAGCCAUACAAAUUUGACUAGAGAUCCUCAAUAAUAGGGUUAAAUUGUUUAUUACUUAUGCAAUUUAUCAUCUCAUAUUCAAUUUUAUUUCUUUUUUGCACAACUAAAACAUAUAUAUAUAUAUAUACUGGGGUGGCCAACACAUCGCAAGCUUUUACGUUCUGUCAUUUUCCUCUAUCUUUAAGCAGCCAUACAAAUUUGACUAGAGAUCCACAAUAAUAGGGUUAAAUUGUUUAUUACUUACGCAAUUUAUCAUCUCAUAUUCAAUUUUAUUUCUUUUUUGCACAACUAAAACAUAUAUAUAUAUAAAACUUUAAAGGAUAAACUUCAAAUUACCUUCAUGUGAUAUAGUGCAUUUUUUACUUUAUCAUUUGUGAUUCAAAAAAUUACACUUUGUCUCUUUGUUGUUUAAUUUUUAUUUUACUAAAAGAUUCUGUACUUGUCAAAUAGAAUGACAAAAUAAAUUUUAAUUUUUUAAAAAGCCACAUGGUGACAAAGUGAAAAAUACAUUAAAUUACAGAAUAGUUAAGUCUAAUUAUUUGAAAUGACAAUAUAAAAUUAAGCUAAAUUACAUGAGGGCAAUUAGUUUACCCUAAUCUUAAGUAUAAAUAAAUUUUGUAUUAAGUGUUCAUAUAUAAAAUUACAUUACAUUCACUUAAUUUAAAAGGAGAGAGAAAAAAGACAAUCUCCACCCACUUAACAUAUUAAUCUAUAUAAAAACUAUUAACUUAUUAAUUUUUUCCUAAUCUAUAAAGAUGAGGAUAGAUUGAGAAUAUUUUUCAAAAGGAGGCUAGAUAGGGAAUUUUUUUUUGUAAAGAGGCUAGACAAGUAAAUUUUUUUUUUUUUUUUGAGAGAUAGGUAGCACGUUACCCGCUUCGUUUAUUUCAUUUAGAAAUAAACAUAGCUAGAAAUGUGAAUCAACUAGAAUUCGAAUUUGGGUCUCGAGUACCAACCACUAAGCCUUUUGCCAUUUGCUCUAGGGACGGUCGAUCGGUGGCUAGACAAGUAAAUGAAUCGAAAAUCUGAUUGGUUGCCCUUGCACGUGGGUGGGACCAACAGCGCGCGUGCAGCCGACGCUGAAUUGUGGGCAGGUGCUGACAACAUUCUAGAAACAAAAAAAAAAAAAAAAAAGAAAAAAGAGUAAAAGGAAAUGCUUUCUCAUAAAAUCUGGUUUUGACUAGUGUUAUAUAUCCACCAACCGUUUCUAGAGCAAGUGACAAAGGACUUGGUGGUUGGUACCCGAGACCUAAGUUCGAAUCCGGCCUAGUUGAUUCACGUUUCCAGCUAAGUUUAUUUCUAAAUGAAAUAAACGAAGCGGGUAGCGUGCUUUCUAUCUCUCAAAAAAAAAAGACUAGUGUUAUAUAUCUAUAUCUAUAUAUAUAUAUAUAGUAUGGUAAAUUUGUAUGGUAAUUUUGGAUUACUUAUAAUAAAAACAUCUAACUAGAUCAUUAAUUAACAGGACUUGGAGCACAAUUUGAAAAAAAAAUAAAAAUAAAAAUGAAGCAACAUGUUGAUUGUAAAUCAUCAGCAGUAAUUGAAGAUUAUAUGAGCAAUCAAUACAUUUCAGCCAAUAUUUGAUUCAAUAUUUAUUAAGUAUUUUAAUUACUGUUGGCAUAUGUACAAUUAUCGCCUAAUUAACAGAAAAAUAGUUUUUUAAAGCUUACAAGUAACAUAUGGAGUUUAAAGUAUAAGUAGCAAUUUACAAUUUAGUUGAAGUUUUGGGAUUCUUAAAAUUAAGUUUAUAUAGUAUAAAUCUACGAUAAUUUUACAGUGGUUUGGCGUGAUGAACCAGGCGAAGAAAAAUGAACGAAAGAAAAGAAAAAAAGAAAAAAGAAUAAGACUAUUUUGAUCAAUUUCUCAAAAAUUCAGUUCGAAUAUGUAAAAUCUCAAAAAACAGCCUAUUUUUGCAAAAACAUAAAAUCGGUAGAUUUUUUAU